UCCUCCAUAAGUUACAGAUGACAGUCACGUUGUAGCAUUAUAAAAGGAAGCUCUGGAACCAACGAUUUACACAAUCCAGAGUUGCAGCGAGGACGUCAGCUCACUAAGUACAUAAAUACAAUAAACCAUCCAAAGUUCAGUUAUUGUCAACUGAGGUACCACAUACAACGUAAGGAAAAUGCUAUCUGCAAAAUCUAUGAUAACCGUAUUUAUGAUAUUGGCACUAAUUUAUGGUUCAAUGGCCUGCGACGGGCACGACAGCCCAUGCAGUGGAGAUAAUGGUUCUCAAGGCAGCUGUUGUGGAGGCAUGCAUUGUCAGAAGAAUGACCCUUCUUGGAGACAAGGACGUUGUUACUAUAAUCCUGGAAAGUAACUUUCAGAUAUGCAGUACUAAGAAAUACUAACAAGACGAUUAUUAUUUUAUUGGCAAAAAUAUGAUUUUUCUGAAUAAAGCGCUACAAUGUUCUAGAUAG